UACGUAGGGCGCAAGCGUUAUCCGGAAUUAUUGGGCGUAAAGAGCUCGUAGGCGGUUUGUCGCGUCUGCCGUGAAAGUCCGGGGCUCAACUCCGGAUCUGCGGUGGGUACGGGCAGACUAGAGUGAUGUAGGGGAGACUGGAAUUCCUGGUGUAGCGGUGAAAUGCGCAGAUAUCAGGAGGAACACCAGCGGCGAAGGCGGCGCUCUGGGCCGGAACUGACGCUGAGGGGCGAAAGCGUGGGUAGCAAACAGG
rnacentral:rRNA from 1 species